rnacentral:misc_RNA from 1 species
AUAUAUAUAUCAACCUUUCUCUUUUGUGAAUGGUUUGGAUGUGGGGGUUUGCUGGUCUCUUGAAAAGAGUUCGGCUCCUCUGAAAUGCAUUAGCAGAACAACCUGGUUCAUUGGCGUGAUAACUAUCUACGUUGUUGAAUGUCAGGGGGCGGUUCAGCUUUCUAACAGUCUUUGGACAAAUUAUCAUUA